rnacentral:rRNA from 1 species
UACGAAGGGAGCUAGCGUUGUUCGGAAUCACUGGGCGUAAAGCGCACGUAGGCGGAUGUGUCAGUCAGGGGGUGAAAUCCCGGAGCUCAACUUCGGAACUGCCUUUGAUACAGCACGUCUUGAGUCCGAUAGAGGUGGGUGGAAUUCCUAGUGUAGAGGUGAAAUUCGUAGAUAUUAGGAAGAACACCAGUGGCGAAGGCGGCUCACUGGAUCGGUACUGACGCUGAGGUGCGAAAGCGUGGGGAGCAAACAGG